GAUGAACGCUAGCGGCAGGCCUAAUACAUGCAAGUCGGACGGGAUUCAGGAGCUUGCUUCUGAUGAGAGUGGCGCACGGGUGCGUAACACGUAUGUAACCUACCUUUAUCAGGGGGAUAGCCUCUCGAAAGAGAGAUUAAGCCCGCAUAAAAUCACAGCACAGCAUUGUGUAAUGAUCAAGUAUUUAUAGGAUAAAGAUGGGCAUGCGGAACAUUAGCUAGAUGGCGGGGUAACGGCCCACCAUGGCGACGAUGUUUAGGGGAUCUGAGAGGAUGGCCCCCCACACUGGUACUGAGACACGGACCAGACUCCUACGGGAGGCAGCAGUAAGGAAUAUUGGUCAAUGGGCGGAAGCCUGAACCAGCCAUGCCGCGUGCAGGAAGACGGCCCUACGGGUUGUAAACUGCUUUUAUACGGGAAUAAACCCAGAUACGUGUAUCUGGCUGAAUGUACUGUAAGAAUAAGGAUCGGCUAACUCCGUG
rnacentral:rRNA from 1 species